UGUAGCAUAGCUGGUUAGAUGAUACUUUUAAGAACAUUGUACAUGUACAGUACAGUACAUUACAUGAUGCAUGUAUGUUUUAUUCAGUUCUCUUUCCUAUUUUUCUCUCUCUAUGUGACCAACCUCAAUCUAAUGGAUCCCACUUUUUCCGCUAUGACCUGAAUCUGUCAAUAUGAAUGCAAGAGCCUCAGUACUGACGGAACGCUCAUGACUCUGUGGCUUCUAUUCUAGAAUCAGAAUCUAGUGUCACCUGUGACAUAACAGUUGUGCUGCUUGUCAUUUUGCAUUGAGAAGAGCUCCAACAAGUCACCUUUUUUAACACAUUGAACAUCAUUUUGUUGAUUUUCCUUCAUUUCCUCUGCAUAGUAAGACUAAGAAGUUCUAAGCAAUGCCGCGCAAAAGUGAACGUUUGAUUUCAGUUGGGUACUAUGACGACAAGGAAGAACCUUGUAUUUCAUACAAGGAGUACCCAUACAGGGUCUUUCACAGGAAGAGAAGUCGUCGCCACUCUGGUGCCAGCAGCAUCUCAAACAUGUCAAGCAUAACUGCUGCCACUACUGUUGACCAUCCUACCAGCAGCUGGAGAUUAAGAAACAGAAACAGCUGCCUCUUCGUCAUCAUGCUGGCAUGUUUUGG